GACCGCGUGGCCUAAUGG
rnacentral:ncRNA from 3 species